AGGGUUUGAUUCUGGCUCAGGAUGAACGCUAGCGGCAGGUCUAACACAUGCAAGUCGAACGGUAACAGAUCUAGCUUGCUAGAUGCUGACGAGUGGCGAACGGGUGCGUAACGCGUAUGCAAUCUGCCUUUAACUGAGGAAUAGCCCAGAGAAAUUUGGAUUAAUACCUCAUAAUAUUAUUUUACGGCAUCGUUUAAUAAUUAAAACUCCGGUGGUUAAAGAUGAGCAUGCGUCCUAUUAGCUAGUUGGUAAGGUAAUGGCUUACCAAGGCUACGAUAGGUAGGGGGCCUGAGAGGGCGAUCCCCCACACUGGUACUGAGACACGGACCAGACUCCUACGGGAGGCAGCAGUGAGGAAUAUUGCACAAUGGAGGAAACUCUGAUGCAGCCAUGCCGCGUGCAGGAAGAAAGCCCUAUGGGUUGUAAACUGCUUUUAUGCAAGAAGAAAUGCCAGUACGUGUACUGGUUUGACGGUAUUGCAAGAAUAAGCACCGGCUAACUCCGUGCCAGCAGCCGCGAUAAUAC
rnacentral:rRNA from 1 species